GAGUGCCAGCUCUGUGGUGGCCGUGGCCGUGCUGGAGGGACAGCUGCUUUCUGUGACAGCCUGCAGUUGUUAUGUGGAGCCCAGUCAAAACAAAAUGAAACAGUAAUUAAGAUUUAUGAAAUAAUUGUCUCACAAAAGCCUGCUGAAAAGGAGAAGCGAUAAUGAAAAGGCUGAAAGAAAAGGAAUUGCUUGUUCCUGGGACAACUGAGAAUGUAGCAGCAGGUUCUUUUCUGCAGGAAAAUUUAACAGCCAAGUGCUGUCUGCCUACAUGGAGACCCCAUUGUGCUUAACUUUGGGAGAAACAACUGCUGUCUCAUAUCCAAUUCCAACAUUUCACAAAGCAUUUCCUGAGGAAUUCAGUCUUCUCAGCCUGCCCUGCUGCUGUCUAUCCAGGCAGGUCAAAUCCAUGUUCCCUGGGCCUCCAGCAAGGGUAUCUGCUCUGCCUGACAUCAGCCCAGGUCAGUCUUCCCCCAGUCUUCACAGCAUUCCUGCAGACAGUGAGCCUGCUCUCCAGCCCUGCAUGGAAAGGACAAGGUGUCUAAGAACAUUUGGAAAGGAGCUUGAUGUAUGGAAGCUCUUAAAUGUCCCUGAAAUUUCUGCUGGCCUUUUUCCUUCAGUCAGGCUCAGUUAUUUUUGCCUUGGUUCAAUAGAUUUUUGAAUUCACUCAUAACCUUUGGAAAAUGCAUCACAAACAACCCAAAAUACAGGCUGUUUUGGAGUUUGCUUUUUCUCCCUGAGUAAGGACAAGUGUGAGGUUAAAUGGAAAAGCAGCUGUGGAUUUCAAAGGGAGUCAGAUGUUCAGGGAUGCUCUGCCAGCACCUGGUGUAGGGAGAGCUGGUACCUCAGUAAAAAUGCUGUAGAGAUUUCAUUUCCAUGGCAAGUGUUCCACAAGUGGGACAUGCCCAGGAAUAAUUGCCAGCUUUGUCAGGCAGAGGGAAUCUGGAGGAAUGGCAGUACUGCGGGAAGGAGGAGAAACCCUGGCAGCAGAGGGAGUGGCAGGGCUGAGCAGCACCAAUAGGGAGCACCAGUAGUAGGGAAGGGGAGUAAUCCACACACUGGUGUGGAAAGUGAAAUGGUUUUCUAAAGGACAGAAGCUGGAGUGGGAAUGACAAGCACAUACAAUUACAGGUGGCUGCUGAGAGCAAAAUGCACCAUUAUUUGGCCAAAGAGUAACUCUGUCUGGUGAAAUCUCUUCUGGCAGCAUACAGCUCUUGAAACUCAGCAAUUUCCCACAUUUUCCCUGUGUUUCAUGAAGAGACAUGUAAAGAAUCAUCAGUUCUUCUCAGCAGCUCUGUGUGUGCAGCAGAGCACAAGCUGAGUGUGAGAUCCACAAACCUUCUACAGCCGCAAUCGAUUCUAGCUCCGUGUUAAUAGUCAGUACAGCACGAGGAAUAAAGGACAGCAAGAAUGGAAUGUUUACAUGAGGAAUUACUUUAACAAACUAAAUCAAUUGGUCAUAGCACAAAAUUUCACAGGGGUAUGACUCUGUCAAACUUGACAUACAUACCUUGAACAAGCCAGAGGAGGAGUGAGAGCAACAAAGAGGCACCAGAGCAGAUAUCUGUGCAAUGACUGGAGCAGGAAUGGUUUAGUUUUUAGACAAAAAUUUAUAUGAACAAGCAACAACCUGAUCUGUUUUUCAGAACAAUAGUCUGUAGCAGCAGAAAGGGGAGGAUUUACUCUCCCUGAGCAAUGUAAUUUCUGAGAGUUAACGCACCUCAGCACUUCUGGGCUGCUGCUAAUUCAACAGUGAUGCUCAAAAGUUUGCUCCAGUGAGAUCAAUAAAUGCCCUGAAGGGGAUGGAUGUCAGUCCUUGUGCACCAGGGUUCACUCACUUGGAGGUAAAGCAGGAUAAUUACUGAUUGUCCCAGCUACGUGAUCCCUAAAGUGGAUGAGAAAGAGUGAGAGACUACCAGGAAAUCCGAGUUACACUAGCUCAAAUCUGGUACUUGUUUCAAAGAAAAAGACUUUACAAGCCCAGAUGAAAUGCUUCUGAUUCAUCUGGAAAUUCUGGAAUUCAUACCAGAAGUGUUGCCUGAACUGAGCCCUUCUCUCCAAUGCCAAGCUCAGGCUGUGCCCUAAGUUAAAGAUGUUUUGGUUCACACCCUAGAAGUGAGAAUUUCAGCUCAAAACAGGCUCUCUCCCUCACUUUUUGGGAGGACUUGGUGCCUCCCCCAUCCUUGGGAUGGCUCUAGGGGAAUAAAAGGAAGUUUGGGGGGCCAUCCCUCCUGGCUGGCAGUGUGGCAGACAGGCACUUUUAUGGAGUGUUAAAUUUUCACAACCCUGUUGUAUUUCUUUUCUCCCUCUGUGAAAUAAUGACAAUCAUAAAACCUUGGAUUGAAAGAUUAUCUAGAAUUAUUACAGAAAAAUAUAAUUUAAGGGAAAAAUGGAGUACUAGCAAGGUAUACCAACUUUGUAAUGCAAAUAAGACAACAUUUUCACUGAGACUGCAAAUCAAUUUCUUAGUAUUAAUUAUUUUCCCACAUUCUUAUUAAUUUUACAUUUCAUAUCUUGGAUAUAACUACUUAGGAAUACUUGGAUUUAUGUCAUGAGGUCCUAAAAGCUGUAGCUGGAGUCACUAUAACAAAAUAUAACUUGAUGAACAAAUAAAUUUAAUUUUAUUGUUAACAUAUAAAUAGCAGAUUACCAUUGCAAAUAAACAGUGGAUUGUUAAUAAAUUCAAGACUGCAGCUUGUCUUUGUUCUUAACACAUUUUAGUUGCUGGGCAGUUAUUCUUGAGUUUAAUUACACACAAUGGGAAAUAGGAUGUCUG
ensembl:lncRNA